AAUGAACGCUGGCGGCAUGCCUUACACAUGCAAGUCGAACGGCAGCGCGGGCUUCGGUCUCGCGGCGAGUGGCGAACGGGUGAGUAAUACACCGGAACGUGCCCUGCCUUGGGGGAUAGCUUGGCGAAAGCCGGAUUAAUACCGCAUCCGACCUGAUGUUGAAAGUGGGGGAUCUUCGGACCUCGCGCUUUUUGCGCGGCCGAUGGCAGAUUAGCUAGUUGGAGGGGUAAAGGCCUACCAAGGCGACGAUCUGUAGCUGGUCUGAGAGGACGACCAGCCACACUGGAACUGAGACACGGCCCAGACUCCUACGGGAGGCAGCAGUCGGGAAUUUUGGACAAUGGGCGAAAGCCUGAUCCAGCAAUGCCGCGUGUGUGAUGAAGGCCUUCGGGUUGUAAAGCGCUUUUGGCGGGAACGAAAAGGAGUGUGCCAAUACCACGGUUCGAUGACGGUACCCGCAGAAUAAGCACCGGCUAACUACGUG
rnacentral:rRNA from 1 species